rnacentral:tRNA from 1 species
GGAUCUGUGGUGUAGUGGUAACACAUUGUGUCCGGAAGUGAAGAGGAAUGGUUCGAUUCUUUCCCGGUCCG